rnacentral:rRNA from 1 species
GAUGAACGCUGGCGGCGUGCCUAACACAUGCAAGUCGAACGAACCGACGAGGACCUUGCUCCUCUGAGGUUAGCGGCGGACGGGUGAGUAACACGUGGAUAACAUACCUAUAAGACUGGGGUAACUUCGGGAAACCGUAGCUAAUACCGGAAAAUAUAUUGACCCGCAUGGUUCAAGCGUGAAAGACGGUCUUGCUGACACUAAAAGAUGGAUCAGCGCAGCAUUAGCUAGUUGGUAAGGUGACGGAUUACCAACGCAACGAUGCAUAGACGACCCGAGAGGGUGAGUCGCCACACUGGCUGUGAGGCACGGCCCAGACUCUUACGCGGGGCAGCAGUAGGGACUCUUCCGCGAGGGGCGAAAGCGUGACGGUGCAACGCCGCGUGAGUGCUGAAGGUCUUCGGCCCGGAAAACUCUGUUAUCCGUGAAGUACAAAUGUGUAAUUACCCGUGCACAUCUUGACGGUACCUAGACAGAAAGCCACGGCUAACUACGUG